GUUGAAUGCUGAGUCGAUCCAUAUAUGGUUUGCAAAUUUCUGUGAUGAAAAGUUCAUGUUGAUGAUGAACAUGAAGAACGUGUGAUGAAUGCUUGCAUUUCGUUCCCAGACUCGUGGUAGAUCUGUUUCCCGUGGCUUUUGCAUGAUUUUUCUGUUUGUUCCCCAUGAAGCCAGUCACGUGGUGACACCUCACUUAGUGAAAC
rnacentral:lncRNA from 1 species